rnacentral:sRNA from 1 species
GAAACAUUCGGAUCAAAUAUUCCAAAGCAGUUUGUGCCUGCUGUAGAAAAGGGGUUUUUAGAUGCCUGCGAGAAGGGCCCUCUUUCUGGUCACAAGCUCUCUGGGCUCCGGUUUGUCCUGCAAGAUGGAGCGCACCACAUGGUUGAUUCUAAUGAAAUCUCUUUCAUCCGAGCAGGAGAAGGUGCUCUUAAACAAGGUAUGCUGGGUCUGGGCACCUUAGUGUGUCUAUUUUCCUGAUAGAUCAUCAUAGCCUGAGAAGGCAACACUGUUUUCAGUCUUCUUCACCCAGAGCACUAGGCACUACAGGGAAUAUUGUAGGUAGUGGGCAAAUCUUUAUGGACUUGAGAUCAAGUUAGAUUAUUAUGUUCUCUUUCUUGCAAAAUUAAAAGACUACUGUAUUCUCCUACAUUCUCUGGGGUUUUCUUUCAUGUAUUUGAAUUCAUAGAUAAUUUAUAAGUUCUGUUUUUAAUAGGGAAGACUGAAAUGUUCAGAAUUCUAAGAAAUUUUUAAAAGGUAUCUUAACUACAGUCUUGUUAUUUCUAGUGACUUAUUGAAAUGUCAAGAAAUCCAUAAAUUUGUAAGUAAUCUCUUCAUUGUGACAUUGUAUGCUUUUAGGCAUUUUGAGGAUGGCAAAGUAUUUUGAAAGAAUUUGGUAAACCUUAUUCACAAUGCAGAUUUCUUGCAAAACUGCUAAAAUUGUCAACAUUUCUCACAGAGCAAUAUUUGUAUUUAAAUGCUGAUGAACUAGAACCUUAUGCAGUUGCAAACAUACCUGAUUCUUUGCUUUUAAGAGAAAAAAAGCUAGUGACAAUGUAGCGGUUUCACAUCAGGAUUAUUCAAGAAAG